rnacentral:tRNA from 1 species
GGCCUUGUAGUCUAAAUAGGAUGUCAAGUUGCAAACUUGAAGGUGGGGGGGGCCCCUAAGGCUU